rnacentral:rRNA from 1 species
GACGAACGCUGGCGGCGUGCUUAACACAUGCAAGUCGAACGGAAAGGCCCUGCUUGCAGGGUGCUCGAGUGGCGAACGGGUGAGUAACACGUGGGUGAUCUGCCCCUUACUUUGGGAUAAGCCUGGGAAACUGGGUCUAAUACUGGAUAGGACCAUGCUGUAGGUGGUGUGGUGGAAAGAUUAGUUUCGGUAAGGGAUGAGCUCGCGGCCUAUCAGCUUGUUGGUGGGGUAAUGGCCUACCAAGGCGUCGACGGGUAGCCGGCCUGAGAGGGUGGACGGCCACAUUGGGACUGAGAUACGGCCCAGACUCCUACGGGAGGCAGCAGUGGGGAAUAUUGCACAAUGGGCGCAAGCCUGAUGCAGCGACGCCGCGUGGGGGAUGACGGCCUUCGGGUUGUAAACUCCUUUCAGCCAUGACGAAGCCCUUGUGGUGACGGUAGUGGUAGAAGAAGCACCGGCUAACUACGUU